rnacentral:rRNA from 1 species
GACGUAGGGCGCGAGCGUUGUCCGGAAUUAUUGGGCGUAAAGAGCUCGUAGGCGGUGUGUCACGUCGAUCGUGAAAACUUACAGCUUAACUGUGAGCGUGCGGUCGAUACGGGCAUCACUGGAGUUCGGCAGGGGAGACUGGAAUUCCUGGUGUAGCGGUGAAAUGCGCAGAUAUCAGGAGGAACACCGAUGGCGAAGGCAGAUCUCUGGGCCGUAACUGACGCUGAGGAGCGAAAGCGUGGGGAGCGAACAGG